UUUUAUGGAGAGUUUGAUCCUGGCUCAGGAUGAACGCUGGCGGCGUGCCUAAUACAUGCAAGUCGAGCGAACGGACGAGAAGCUUGCUUCUCUGAUGUUAGCGGCGGACGGGUGAGUAACACGUGGAUAACCUACCUAUAAGACUGGGAUAACUUCGGGAAACCGGAGCUAAUACCGGAUAAUAUUUUGAACCGCAUGGUUCAAAAGUGAAAGACGGUCUUGCUGUCACUUAUAGAUGGAUCCGCGCUGCAUUAGCUAGUUGGUAAGGUAACGGCUUACCAAGGCAACGAUGCAUAGCCGACCUGAGAGGGUGAUCGGCCACACUGGAACUGAGACACGGUCCAGACUCCUACGGGAGGCAGCAGUAGGGAAUCUUCCGCAAUGGGCGAAAGCCUGACGGAGCAACGCCGCGUGAGUGAUGAAGGUCUUCGGAUCGUAAAACUCUGUUAUUAGGGAAGAACAUAUGUGUAAGUAACUGUGCACAUCUUGACGGUACCUAAUCAGAAAGCCACGGCUAACUACGUGCCAGCAGCCGCGGUAAUACGUAGGUGGCAAGCGUUAUCCGGAAUUAUUGGGCGUAAAGCGCGCGUAGGCGGUUUUUUAAGUCUGAUGUGAAAGCCCACGGCUCAACCGUGGAGGGUCAUUGGAAACUGGAAAACUUGAGUGCAGAAGAGGAAAGUGGAAUUCCAUGUGUAGCGGUGAAAUGCGCAGAGAUAUGGAGGAACACCAGUGGCGAAGGCGACUUUCUGGUCUGUAACUGACGCUGAUGUGCGAAAGCGUGGGGAUCAAACAGGAUUAGAUACCCUGGUAGUCCACGCCGUAAACGAUGAGUGCUAAGUGUUAGGGGGUUUCCGCCCCUUAGUGCUGCAGCUAACGCAUUAAGCACUCCGCCUGGGGAGUACGACCGCAAGGUUGAAACUCAAAGGAAUUGACGGGGACCCGCACAAGCGGUGGAGCAUGUGGUUUAAUUCGAAGCAACGCGAAGAACCUUACCAAAUCUUGACAUCCUUUGACAACUCUAGAGAUAGAGCCUUCCCCUUCGGGGGACAAAGUGACAGGUGGUGCAUGGUUGUCGUCAGCUCGUGUCGUGAGAUGUUGGGUUAAGUCCCGCAACGAGCGCAACCCUUAAGCUUAGUUGCNAUC
rnacentral:rRNA from 1 species